UUCUGAAGUUAUGCAACUAUAUUCCUAUGUGUGAUAAGUGUUUUAAAUAAAUAUCUUAAAGCCCAUUCUUGUAUUCUGAACCUUGUUACCAACCUAACAUAAAGCAUAUGAGGCUAACGUUGGCUAAAACGGUGAAAUGCUAUUUUUAAUGUUACUGUUUACAACUAUUUCCAGGGUUAGUGGGGAUGUAAAGCCUCUCAAAACCAACAUGAAAUAACGUGCAAAUCUUCCCUCAGAGCAGUGUUGUUUUGUUGUAACAAUUUUGUUGCUAAAUGAUCAAAACGAGACAUAAAGCACCCGUUUCAUUCAUUUAGGGGCCGUCUAUGUGCUGGAGUUAACAGUGGCUGCAACGCUCUGACAUCCACGUUGACAUUAUACAGCAAUCUUACAGACUACAAUCCACCAGAACAUCGUUCCUUGGACUGGGCAAAAAUGUCAAUCACCGUGAUAAAUUUCCUACGAGAUCGCGGGGUCCCAGAGGAAGCUCUCACACUAAUGGAAGAGCAAAAGCAACCACACAGAUUCUUUUGCCGGAGUCCGAAGUUUCAUCUAUGGACGCAGCACCACAAACCAGCGGAUUGAAUCGUGGUGGGGGAUCCUGAGGAAACAAAGUGCACAGUUUUGGAUCAACGUUUUCCAAACCCUCUAAGAUGACGGCUACUUCUCUGGUGAUUUCUUGGAUAGGAGCCUGAUCCAAUUCUGCUUCCUAAACCUUGUUCAGGAUGAACUUGACGAAGUCGUGAGAACCUGGAAUUCACACAAGAUAAGAGCAAAGGCAGCUGAUGGUGUGAUUGGAGGUCGGCGGAUUUUGAUGUACACACUUCCAGGCAUGUUCGGCGCAGAGGACAAUCUCAAGCCCAUACACAUGAAUGAAUUGGCCCUUUGUAGGGAGGAGUGCACCCCCAAAAGCCAAUAUACAUGUGAUGAAACUGUAUUUGAUCUCUGCUGUCUUCUGAUGCAGGAAAGGGGAUGGGAUGCUCCUACAGAUGCAUUUUCCGCUGCUGAACUGUACACCUUAUUAAGAACUGAAAUACUGCAAAGUGUCUGAGGGUGGACAAUUCUCUCUGCACAAAGAGAAUCAUUUGUACUGUACAGUACAGUACUGUCUCAGAAAAUUAGAAUAUUGUGAUAAAGUCCUUUUAUUUUCUGUAAUGCAAAAAUGUCAUACAUUCUGGAUUCAUUACAAAUCAACGGAAAUAUUGCAAGCCAUUUAUUAUUUUAAUAUUGCUGAUCAUGGCUUACAGCUUAAGAAAACUCAAAUAUCCUAUCUCAAAAAAUGUGAAUAUUCUGGGAAUCUUAAUCAAACUGUAAGCCAUAAUCAGCAAUAUUAAAAUAAUAAAAGGCUUGCAAUAUUUCACUUGAUUUGUAAUGAAUCCAGAAUGUAUGGCAUUUUUUUU